AUUGAACGCUGGCGGCAUGCCUUACACAUGCAAGUCGAACGGUAACGCGGGGCAACCUGGCGACGAGUGGCGAACGGGUGAGUAAUGCAUCGGAACGUGCCCAGUAGUGGGGGAUAACUGCUCGAAAGAGCAGCUAAUACCGCAUACGACCUGAGGGUGAAAGCGGGGGAUCGCAAGACCUCGCGCCAUUGGAGCGGCCGAUGUCAGAUUAGGUAGGUGGUGGGGUAAAGGCCCACCAAGCCAACGAUCUGUAGCUGGUCUGAGAGGACGACCAGCCACACUGGGACUGAGACACGGCCCAGACUCCUACGGGAGGCAGCAGUGGGGAAUUUUGGACAAUGGACGCAAGUCUGAUCCAGCCAUGCCGCGUGCGGGAAGAAGGCCUUCGGGUUGUAAACCGCUUUUGUCAGGGAAGAAACGCUCUGGGUUAAUACCUCGGGGUAAUGACGGUACCUGAAGAAUAAGCACCGGCUAACUACGUGCCAGCCGCCGCCGUAAUAC
rnacentral:rRNA from 1 species